rnacentral:rRNA from 1 species
UACGGAGGGGGCGAGCGUUAUUCGGAAUUAUUGGGCGUAAAGGGCGCGUAGGCGGCCCGGUAAGUCAAAGGUGAAAUCCCUCGGCUCAACUGAGGAACUGCCUUUGAAACUGUCGGGCUUGAGGCCGGGAGGGGGUAGCGGAAUUCCCAGUGUAGCGGUGAAAUGCGUAGAUAUUGGGAGGAACACCAGUGGCGAAGGCGGCUACCUGGACCGGAUCUGACGCUGAGGCGCGAAAGCGUGGGUAGCAAACAGG